CCUACGGGAGGCAGCAGUGGGGAAUAUUGCGCAAUGGGCGAAAGCCUGACGCAGCGACGCCACGUGAGGGAUGAAGGCCUUCGGGUUGUAAACCUCUUUCAGCAGGGAAGAAGCGAAAGUGACGGUACCUGUAGAAGAAGCACCGGCUAACUACGUGCCAGCAGCCGCGGUAAUACGUAGGGUGCAAGCGUUGUCCGGAAUUAUUGGGCGUAAAGAGCUCGUAGGCGGUUUGUCGCGUCUGCUGUGAAAACCUGGGGCUUAACCCCGGGCCUGCAGUGGGUACGGGCAGACUAGAGUGCGGUAGGGGAGACUGGAAUUCCUGGUGUAGCGGUGAAAUGCGCAGAUAUCAGGAGGAACACCGGUGGCGAAGGCGGGUCUCUGGGCCGUAACUGACGCUGAGGAGCGAAAGCGUGGGGAGCGAACAGGAUUAGAUACCCUGGUAGUCCACGCCGUAAACGUUGGGCGCUAGGUGUGGGGCUCUUUCCAACGAGUUCCGUGCCGCAGCAACGACAUAAGCGCCCGCCGUCGGGAGGUACGGCCGGCCGACGGACGUAACGACGUACGAAAGAAGUAGUACGGUAACGGUCGUAGAGAGUCGACGACGACGACGACGGAGGAGG
rnacentral:rRNA from 1 species